rnacentral:rRNA from 1 species
AAGGUAUUGAAAUAAGAUUUUAAAUGAGUGCUAAGAGAAUGAUUAAACAAUUAAAAGCUUUCUUUAAUUAAAAAAUUAAAUUUAAUUUUUUCAGUGCAAAAGCAAAAAUAAAAUUUAGGGACAAGAAGACCCUAUGAAUUUUUAUUGUUAAUAAUUAAAAUUUAAGUUAUUAAUAAUUUAAUUGGGGCGAUAAAAAAAGAAUAAGUAUCUUUUUAGUUAUAAAAUAAGUUCCGUUUUUAGCGAUUAAAUGAAAUAAAUACUCUAGGGAAAACAGCGUAAAAA